rnacentral:rRNA from 1 species
GACGAACGCUGGCGGCGUGCCUAAUACAUGCAAGUCGAGCGAAUGGAUUAAGAGCUUGCUCUUAUGAAGUUAGCGGCGGACGGGUGAGUAACACGUGGGUAACCUGCACAUAAGACUGGGAUAACUCCGGGAAACCGGGGCUAAUACCGGAUAACAUUUUGAACCGCAUGGUUCGAAAUUGAAAGGCGGCUUAGGCUGUCGCUUAUGGAUGGACCCGGGUCGCAUUAGCUAGUUGGUGAGGUAACGGCUCACCAAGGCAACGAUGCGUAGCCGACCUGAGAGGGUGAUCGGCCACACUGGGACUGAGACACGGCCCAGACUCCUACGGGAGGCAGCAGUAGGGAAUCUUCCGCAAUGGACGAAAGUCUGACGGAGCAACGCCGCGUGAGUGAUGAAGGCUUUCGGGUCGUAAAACUCUGUUGUUAGGGAAGAACAAGUGCUAGUUGAAUAAGCUGGCACCUUGACGGUACCUAACCAGAAAGCCACGGCUAACUACGUGCCAGCAGCCGCCGUAA